AAGGCCAAAUCCUCUGAGCUGUGUGACACAGUCAGCAUGGGGAUGCCCUGUGGCAUGAGGCCUCCUGAGCCAUGUGACUGCUGCUAUGGGUUGUGUGAGCAGUCAGCAUCCUCCCCCUUGGCUAUCUGAGUGUUUUGGGGUCACUGAAAGAGCAGAGCUGUUAGGCAUUUGGCCCAGCAUUUGGCACAGCAGCUCUGAAGAUACUGCUAAGUCUUGCCAAGACCCUGUUUCUCCAUCAUGCUAACGUGAGGAACCCCAGCACGGAUCACCAGUGACAGAAGAACGUCCUGAUGAUUUCAGUGUGGACUUCCAGAGUUCCUCGUAGUCUGUGGGAAGCAUGGGCCCCAGGGGCAUUUCUGCUAAACAUGAGCUGUCCUACACUGUCUCGCCCCUCAGGAUGUCAGCGUGUGGAUGGCCAGGUACCGCCAGCUCUGCCGUGAGAGCUUUGUUGGCCUAGUCAGGGGUUACCUUGCCCAUGUCUACCUGAAGGAGGCAGAGGAACCACUGAUGCAGCUCCAGGACAGUCUUGGCUGCCCCAAGGUUGGCAGUGCACUGACCAGGCUGAAAGCACUAAGGAAGCAGAGGCUCCAGUGCUGGAGGGUGCAGUGGCACCAGUGCUGGGAAAGACAGCAGCAGCUGGCUCUGCUGCUUGGCAAGAGACUGGAGCAGUUGGGUGAGGAGGAGAAGCUGCUGGUGAUCAAGCGCCUGCCAUCAUGGCCUGGAUGCCCUGGGGAUUUGUCCUUCUGCUUCAGGCCAAAGCUGUUAAGGCCUCCCAGAAGGAUGAAGGCUCGUUUCCAGAUGGCAGCAAAAAUGCCAGCACUGGUGCCCUUGGGACAGACAGACUUCCCUGGCCCUCGAGACACAGCCCUCUGGGUGCUGAGCAAAGGGGCCGAGGAGUCUGUCUCCCCUGGGUUGGCAAUGAGGGGCUGUGUUCAAUGGCAGGAAGUGAGCAGUGCCCUGGCUGUGCGGGGUCUCCGCCCAUCUGUCCGAGGAGAAACGAUGCCCCCGAAACUGUGGAACGUCCAGGCUGUGGGGAAAGGAGGCGACUUGCUGAAGCAGGGCCCAGAGAUGCUGAAGCCACUGGUGAUCACACCAAGGCUGCUGGAGAUGAACGUCAACACCUACCUGCUGCCAGAGCAUCAGUGAACAGAAAACCCAGAUCCCUGAACACAAUCCUGGGAAUCUGGGACAAAUGCUGUCCUGGAGUCAUUCAGCCUGGGACUGAGACUUGAUGUUCCCAUUUCAGGACUGUCACGCUGAAUUAGGGACGGUGGAAGGACUGAGCCCAUCCCAAGUUUGGACACUUCCAGAGCUGGGCCCUCCACAUCCUCACUGAUGAGGUUCCUUUCCAUCCGACGAGGAGCGGCCCUAAUUGGUUUCCAGCCACUCAGAGAAGCCAGGAGAACCCAGGGAUGGUUCCAGCAGGAUGGCUCCAGGCCCCCCGGGCAUGUUGCAGGCUCCAGGACACAGUCAGUCACUGACUGCUCCAGGAAAUCCCUUGCUGAGGGAAGAAAGUUCAUGGCGGAUCACAGCCCGGAGUGAAGGAACAGCCUCUCCCAGACAACGUGGACACUAACGGCAGCCAGUCACAUCCCUCCUUUGCCUGCAUGUUAGGAAUAUUCAGUCUCCCUCUAGGUGCUGCUAGGACAACUUUUCUGCAUAUCAGAUCCCUAAUAUGGGACCCACUUAAGGAAGGAAUAGCAGUGGGCAAGAAGCUAGAGGUCCCAUGGUCUAAAUUACCUUGGCAGAACCACAUUUUCCUGGCUUGUCGUUUGUCCUAUACAUGACAAAUGUGGCAUAUAGGCGCUGCUCUUUGGGUAAGCAUGGAGGUGCAGGUGGCUGUGGUGCUGAGUUCAGAGCUGCUCUGAAAUAAUGGAUGAAUCCUGUAUAGUGAGCUGACUAGAAGAUAAAUAUAUUGAACUCAUUGGUUAGGGCCCUGCCUGUUAAAACAAGCAAGAAAGGUAAAAGUGACUAAAGAUAAGCUACUUCUCCUUAAACACUCAAGGUUUAAGAGAUGACAGUAAGGUUCAGAAAGACCCAGGCACAUGCAAAAUCCAAAGUAUUGCAGUCAGGUGCACAUCCUCUUGAGAGUCCUAUGUGUUCAGAGGUACCAUACUGAGAUGCAGGAGCCCACUGGACAUGUGUGAAGAAGACUGGCCUGCCUAUGCUACUGUCCACAGGCAUCAAGCCUUGAAGUGAAUAGACAUGUGGGAGAAACAGCUGGUGAUUUAAAAAAAAAGAUCUUUUCCUCUACAUUAUUUGUUUUCACUGUCCCAAUAAACUACGCUGUG